rnacentral:rRNA from 1 species
UACGUAGGUCGCAAGCGUUGUCCGGAUUUACUGGGCGUAAAGAGCGCGCAGGCGGCUGGUCAAGUCCGAUGUGAAAUCUCCCGGCUCAACUGGGAAACUGCAUCGGAAACUGAUCGGCUUGAAGGUGGGAGAGGGUAGUGGAAUUCCCGGUGUAGUGGUGAAAUGCGUAGAUAUCGAGGAGACACCGGUGGCGAAGGCGGGUCUCUGGGCCGUAAUGACGUGACGUGAGGAGCGAAAGCGUGGGGAGCGAACAGG